rnacentral:rRNA from 1 species
UACGUGGGGGGCAAGCGUUAUCCGGAAUUACUGGGUGUAAAGGGAGCGUAGACGGUAAUGUAAGUCUGGAGUGAAAGGCGGGGGCCCAACCCCCGGACUGCUCUGGAAACUAUGUUACUAGAGUGCAGGAGAGGUAAGCGGAAUUCCUAGUGUAGCGGUGAAAUGCGUAGAUAUUAGGAGGAACACCAGUGGCGAAGGCGGCUUACUGGACUGUAACUGACGUUGAGGCUCGAAAGCGUGGGGAGCAAACAGG